rnacentral:rRNA from 1 species
ACUGGCGAGCUUAAGGUAUUGAGUACCGGAGGCGAAGCGAAAGCGAGUGUUAAGAGCGCGUAUAGAGUCAGUUGCCAUAGACCCGAAACCAGGUGACCUAGCCAUGUCCAGGAUGAAGUGGAGGUAAAGCUCCAUGGAGGUCCGAACCCACGUUCGUUGCAAUGACCGGGGAUGAGGUGUGGCUAGCGGUGAAAUUCCAAACGAACUUGGAGAUAGCUGGUUCUCCCCGAAAUAGUUUUAGGACUAGCGUUGGGUAUGAGUUUAACGGCGGUAAAGCACUGAAUGGGCUAGGGGGCGAUAAGCUUACUGAACCCUAUCAAACUAAGAAUGCCGUAUAAAUGCUUACCAGCAGUCAGACUGCGAGUAAUAAAAUCCGUAGUCAAAAGGGAAACAGCCCAGAUCUACAGCUAAGGUCCCUAAUACAUGCUAAGUGGAAAACGAUGUGAGAUUGCGAAAACAACCAGGAUGUUGGCUUAGAGGCAGCCACUCGUUCAAAGAGUGCGUAAUAGCUCACUGGUCGAGUGAUCUUGCGCGGAAAAUUUAACGGGGCUAAGCAUGUAACCGAAGCUUAGGGUUUACGCUUUGCGUAAGCGGUAGGGGAGCGUCGAAUACGGGGUGAAGUCAUACCGAAAGGAAUGGUGGACUGUAUUCGAGUGAGAAUGCCGGAAUGAGUAGCGAGAAUUAUGUGGGAAUCAUAAUGGCCGAAAGUCUAAGGUUUCCUGGGGAAGGUUCGUCCGCCCAGGGUAAGCCGGGAGCUAAGGUGAGGCCGCAAGGCGUAGUCGAUGCACAUACGGUAGAAAUUCCGUAGCCGGCUCAAUCGUUAAGCAUACUGACACAUGAGAGUAGCUCUACCGGGCGUUGGUUGCCCCGGGCGUAAGCGAGCCGAAUGAGGCGAAGUGAGUAAAUCUUGUGGCGAGAAAAGGUGUGUGUAUUGGUUGGGCUGCCCGUACCGCAAACCGACACAGGUAGAUGAGGAGAAGAUCCUAAGGCCAUCGGGAGAAGGGUUGUUAAGGAACUAGGCAAAUUGACCCCGUAACUUCGGGAGAAGGGGUGCCUACGAGAGUAGGCCGCAGAGAAUCGGCCCAAGCAACUGUUUACCAAAAACACAGGUCUCUGCUAAAUCGAAAGAUGACGUAUAGGGGCUGACGCCUGCCCGGUGCUGGAAGGUUAAGAGGAGGACUUAGUGGCAACACGAAGGCCCGAAUUGAAGCCCCAGUAAACGGCGGCCGUAACUAUAACGGUCCUAAGGUAGCGAAAUUCCUUGUCAGGUAAGUUCUGACCCGCACGAAAGGCGUAAUGAUUUGGGCACUGUCUCAACAGCCCGCCCGGCGAAAUUGUAGUACCGGUGAAGAUGCCGGUUACCCGCAACUAGACGGAAAGACCCCAUGGAGCUUUACUGCAGCUUAAUACUGAGAUUCGGUAAAUCAUGUACAGGAUAGGUGGGAGACUAAGAAGCCAGGCCGUCAGGUUUGGUGGAGUCGCCCUUGGGAUACCACCCUUGGUUUGCUGGGUUUCUAACCUGCGGCCCUGAAUCGGGUCGGGGGACACUGUUAGGCGGGCAGUUUGACUGGGGCGGUCGCCUCCUAAAAUGUAACGGAGGCGCUCAAAGGUUGGCUCAGCAUGGAUGGAAACCAUGCAAUGAGUGUAAACGUAUAAGCCAGCCUGACUGCGAGACCGACGGGUCGAGCAGAGACGAAAGUCGGAGUUAGUGAUCCGGUGGUAUGUGAGUGGAAAUGCCAUCGCUCAACGGAUAAAAGCUACCCUGGGGAUAACAGGCUGAUCUCCCCCAAGCGUCCACAGCGACGGGGAGGUUUGGCACCUCGAUGUCGGCUCGUCGCAUCCUGGGGCUGAAUUAGGUCCCAAGGGUUUGGCUGUUCGCCAAUUAAAGCGGCACGCGAGCUGGGUUCAGAACGUCGUGAGACAGUUCGGUCCCUAUCUGUUGCGGGCGUAGGAGAUUUGAAGGGAGCUGACCUUAGUACGAGAGGACCGGGUUGGACGUACCUCUGGUGUACCAGUUGUUCUGCCAAGGGCAUGGCUGGGUAGCUACGUACGGACGAGAUAAACGCUGAAGGCAUCUAAGCGUGAAACUCUCCCUGAGAUAAGAUCUCCACUGAGGCUCGACGUAGACUAUGUCGUUGAUAGGUCAGAGGUGGAAGUGCAGCAAUGCAUGCAGCUGACUGAUACUAAUAAGCCGAAAGCUUGACCAA